AAAUAGGUAAGCUAAAUUUAAGCUUUUGGGCUCAUAACCCAACAAUGGAUUAAACCCCCUAUUUA
rnacentral:tRNA from 1 species